rnacentral:lncRNA from 1 species
GGAUACCAUAGUAAAAUUCUACUUCAAUGUUUGCACCUUAUUGGGGGAACUAAUUUGUGGUUCCCUUUUGAUGCAUUCACGGAUAUUUUUAUCGAAUAGGCUAUCUGCCUAGAAGGAUGAGGAGCUUGUGAUUGGUCUUGAAUUGAAAUAGUAGGGCAGUAGUGAAAGAAGAAUAUGUUGGAAUUGAAAUGUUAAAUAGAGAAGGC